UUAAAAAGUUCAAUAGAUAAGGAAUAGAGACAAAGGGGCACAAGGUCAUUUUUUAUGCAUAAGUGCACACACUGAGAGUUUGAAUUUUUGGAUAUUACACGGCCCCACACGGUUUUUGGGGGCUUCUUUUUUCUCCAAGCAAUAGUUUCAUUUAAAAUGGACACACAGAGCAAAAAAAAGGACCCCGGGGAUGAAACCUCUUUUUCUCCUUCUUGAACAAAAACCCUAGCUGAACCCAGGUACCUUCAGUUGCCGCCCGUCCAGCAUCCAAGCACCACGACCUCACUUGACAAAAACCAGAAGCCGCCGAUCUGCUUCAACUUCUGCCACCAACAUCUUCAACCCAAAAACUCACCAAAAAACACCCCUUCAACACCAGCCCUGUCAACCCCCACGUGAACCAACCGCCUCUCCCUCCUCACGUCCAAGACACAACCAUCGUCGAACCUCCAGUCAACCCGUCACGUCGUCGACCAGCGACGCGUCCAGUUGACCACUACCUCCCCAUCGUCGUCAAACGGAUAGUCAUCUUUCUUCACCGCCCAGAUCACCAUCGAUCCUCCAGCCCACUUCACGCCUGAACCAGUCGUCAAACAACCAGAACAAACCAGCGGCAUCCUUCAAUUGGAACACCCACGAGCCCCCAUCGCAAACACACGCCGAAAAACAUUCACUCACGAGCAGCCCGUCUCUUUUCUCCCUCAUCUCAAUCGUUUAAGAUUCAGUCACACAAACACGGAAGGACAGAAACAGUGACGUGAACACACAUGUGUUUAUCAUAAAACAAAACAUAAAUUAAAUAAAAAUGUUCUGCUUAUUAACUUUUCAAUUCCGGAAUUUGUUCAAAGAUGGAUUUUGAUUAAAACUUGGGUUUGAAUCCAUGUUUGCUUGAGUUUUUCCGGUGUGGAUUGAUGAUCCCGUGUGAUUGGACGAAAAUGGUUGGUUGAGAUGUUGGAGUUCGAGUCCCAGUGCCGAUUCGAAUUUCCGUCCGUGAUACGUCACAUUCUCAAAUUCAUGGUUGUGGCACAAUCAAAUUUCAGAUUUAACGAGGUCCAUCUCUCCCUUGUUUUGCUGAUUUGCUUAAUAUCACAUUUUCCUUUAGUUCGUUGAUAGUCACUUCUCUGCCUUGUUGACCGUUUGAGUUUUUGAUCUAUUGUUUUGUUCAGAUUGUCUCACUAAUGCUUGCUUACUAUGUUCUGUUCUAUUGAUCAUCAUUUGGGUUGUGACCUUGUUUAAUCUGUUUGGAUGGAAUCUGAUUGUUUGAGUUGUGGGGAUUAUAUUUUAAAACAUGGAGGGAAUUGGGCUUAAAUAAUAUUAUUUUUCUCUUAUUUUUACUCUCAUAAUUUUGAUCGAUAGUAGCAUGCCUUGGCCGACUACACCUAAGUAGCCAAACUUUAGAAUCUUUUUUAAUAUGAGGCGAGAGGUCGUUCCCGUAGUUAAAUUUAUCCAGGGAAUGUCCCAUGAAGUUUGUAUAUACUAUUAUUCGGGGUAUGCCCCGAAGAGAAUAUAAAUGAAGGUCAAAGAAGAAGUAACUCGAGGAAGCAAUAGAAUAGUACUUUAUUUUUGCUUUUAUUUUUCCUUUAUUAGGUGGGGACGACCUCGAGCCUCUUUGAUUUUUUAGUCUCUUUUUGCUUGUUUUUGCCUCAAUUUGAAUA
rnacentral:lncRNA from 1 species